AGAGUUUGAUCCUGGCUCAGGAUGAACGCUAGCUACAGGCUUAACACAUGCAAGUCGAGGGGCGAGCAUGGUUUUAGUCUUGCUAAGGCUGAUGGCGACCGGCGCACGGGUGAGUAACACGUAUCCAACCUGCCGUCUACUCUUGGACAGCCUUCUGAAAGGAAGAUUAAUACAAGAUGGCAUCAUGAGUCCGCAUGUUCACAUGAUUAAAGGUAUUCCGGUAGACGAUGGGGAUGCGUUCCAUUAGAUAGUAGGCGGGGUAACGGCCCACCUAGUCUUCGAUGGAUAGGGGUUCUGAGAGGAAGGUCCCCCCACAUUGGAACUGAGACACGGUCCAAACUCCUACGGGAGGCA
rnacentral:rRNA from 1 species